rnacentral:rRNA from 1 species
UCAACCCUCGAACCCCUCCGGGGGGUCGGCGUUGGGGAUCGGCCCCUCACCGGGCCGCCCCCGAAAUACAGUGGCGGUCUCGCCGCAGCCUCUCCUGCGCAGUAGUUUGCACACUCGCACCGGGAGCGCGGCGCGGCCACAGCCGUAAAACACCCCAAACUUCUGAAAU